CAAUGUUAACUUAGGUAUUAAAGCAGCCACAAUGCAAGGAUUGCCUUAUGGACACAUCUUGAACUUCAAUGUAUACUAGAUUAUCAUCGGAGGAUGGGGAAACACUAUGUCAGCAAUAAAAAGAAAUAAUACCAAACCAGAUGUAGCAGAAGCAGAUACACUAGAGAUAUAUUAAUUGAAUCCUGAUGAGAUGUGUGAUAUUUUUAUAGUAAUACAUCAGAAUCGCUGUCACAAACUUUAGGUGGCUUGUACCAAUCGUACAUCAUUCUGGGACAGUAGGUUCUCAAAGGUGGACAAUG